AGGACUGACAGGGAUGUGCCGCUGAAGCAUCUGUGUGUCUGGUUCUUGCAGGAGCACACAUCAUGUGUGAUUUGGCUGGAACAGUGAGUUCCUGAUUUGCAGACCUCCUAGAUCCUGCCUACCCACAGGAGAGGGGAUUGCUGAGUGAUGGAACAGUGACACAUGAAGGUGACAAAUGUCUCAGAAUGUUACAUAAGCAAGAUGAAAAGAGAAAAGGAAGCAGAGGAG
rnacentral:lncRNA from 1 species